CAAAAAAAAAAAAAAAGGGAAUGUCCAACUUUAUAACUGGCCUUAAAAUCUGGUAGAAAUUUAAUCUUCAAGUCCUUGAAUAUGAGAUAGCUGAAUCAUAUCUCUCUUGCUUUAGAUAAAUGGAAAAUCCUGGCAGUGGAAUGGAAACUCCUAAAAUCCAUCAAACGAAAAUAGAUUAAGAAAGAAAAAACAGUGAGAAAUUUUAUAUCAUCAUUUGGGCUUAAUUACAUUUUUAGCCAAACGAAUCCUUUCUAUACUUAAAGAGCAGAUAUAUGAUCAGGAAUCAAAAGAAAUUUGUUGGCAUUGGUGGAAAUAGACUUAAAAUUGCUAUCUGAUUUUGAAAGAACAUUUUGUAAAAAUGAAACAUACUAUUCUUUUAGAAGAGAGUUUUAUUUCAUGCAUAUUUCCCCAAAAUUCAAAAUCAAUUCAUUCAUCUUCUGGGAAAUUACAUCAAACUAAAAAUAGUGGUAGACAUUAAAAAAAGCUAAAUACAUUGACAUUCUUUUUAUAGCACUCUUGAUAUUUUUCAUGGUUAUUGAACAUUUGAAGUGAUCAGAUGUGUCCAUAUUGAAGAUGGUCAAGUUAAAGUAAUCAGUUUUAGGCAUCUUUUCUAUUUCUGGGAAGACUGCUACUGAAGGCAUCAAAGAAAUUGUGAAACAGUUGGAUACAGAUGGACUGAGCAUAAACCUCUGCCAUGGUCAAGGAAAUGACAACACUGUAGUUCCGAUCAGUGUCCAUGGGGGCGUCCAGCAAAGAUCUCAGAAACUGAUCAAGUCUUUACACGUUUCUUCUGCAAGUCACUCUCUGCACCUUUGCAGAGUUUACUCUUUUGGGCGUGUUUCUUCAUGGGUGAUGUUUUUGGAAUUAUGAAAACAUUUUAUUCAUUCUUAGUAAUCUCACCUCAUCAGUGAAAAAUGCUGCAGACUGUAGGAAACAAGCCAAAAGCCUUUCCCUGGGAAGAUGGAGCGCUCAGAUGAAGCUGUGCACACCGCAAAGACUGAUUCUGAAAAACCAACCCCAACUUGCAAGCUGUGAGGAUCGUCUUAGAUUUUAAGAAGAAGGCCUCUACCUCUGCAACAACAAAAUAUAAAUAAACAAGUGAGUUUGACGUAGAGAAUAGAACUAAAUUUUGAAGAAGAAAGCAUAGAUAUGAGAAAAGAUGCCUGCCUUACAAUGCCAGAAGAAAACUCAAAGGGUCAUGUUUCAAUGCUCCAAUCAUUUUCUAAAUGAAUGAAUUUUCUAAAUCACAUUCUAAAGGAAUGGAUCAAAUAAUGUCAAUGUUUACUCUAUGAUUUUUGUAGAAGAAGAAAAACUAUGGACGUUUUUAAUAAAUAGAGAAGAAAUCUAUGGUGAAUUUUCUAGAGAAGAUAUUUGGAAGAUAAUGGACAUUUUUUGAACGUGAAGUCUUUUGAAAGCCAGUGGAAUCAGUCUCCAAGAAACAAAAACAUUGACAGUCUGGCAAUUUCUGGAAUUUAUUGGGAAAUGAGAUUUACUUGGAUCACAGCUAAACUUUAUUCUUUUCCUAACUCAUGUGAAAGGAAUUUUUUGAAAUUAAAAUAAGCAUUGUUCUUCAAUCAACUAUGAGUGAAGAAAGAAUGGAUUGAAUAUGAACAUGCAAAGACAAUCGAUCAGAAAUUAAUCUGCCAUUGACAGAUUUGCAGGAGUUACGGCUGCAGAACAGAAACGGACCCCCGACUCCUUUCAGAAACACAGGCCAUCCAGUCCGUGGGGCUUUCCUUGUGAUGUGACACGCACUGAGGACCUCUCCUGUGGUACUGAGUGCCCCGGGGAAGUUUGGUAGUGGCUGUGGGUGUCCCUGCUGCCUGAGAAUGACAGAUGGAAUGAGACUUGAGCUCAGCUGCUUGCACAAAUGGAUGUUAGUGUGGGAGGAAGAGUGGCCGAGGAGCUUCUAUUUGGAACUGAUCACAUUACAACAGGACUCAUAUGAACGAGCGAAACAUAUCUUGAAGACUCAUGCAAAAGAGCGCAAGAAUCUAGCAGAAGCUUUGUUGACCUAUGAGACUUUGGAUGCCAAGGAGAUUCAGAUUAUUCUUGAGGGGAAGAAAUUGGAAGUGAGAUGGUAGCUCUCUUGGAACGGAGGCCUUGCUGGGUUUAUUGCAAGAAGAUAAGUAGCAUUGCAGGAAUCUCCUUUUGCAAUGCUUUCCCUCCAUUCUCGACUUGACAUCACUCAAGGGUGUGAAAUACUUUGUCAGUCUUUUG